rnacentral:rRNA from 2 species
AUCCACGGAAGUUUUCAGAGAUGAGAAUGUGCCUUCGGGAACCGUGAGACAGGUGCUGCAUGGCUGUCGUCAGCUCGUGUUGUGAAAUGUUGGGUUAAGUCCCGCAACGAGCGCAACCCUUAUCCUUUGUUGCCAGCGGUCCGGCCGGGAACUCAAAGGAGACUGCCAGUGAUAAACUGGAGGAAGGUGGGGAUGACGUCAAGUCAUCAUGGCCCUUACGACCAGGGCUACACACGUGCUACAAUGGCGCAUACAAAGAGAAGCGACCUCGCGAGAGCAAGCGGACCUCAUAAAGUGCGUCGUAGUCCGGAUUGGAGUCUGCAACUCGACUCCAUGAAGUCGGAAUCGCUAGUAAUCGUGGAUCAGAAUGCCACGGUGAAUACGUUCCCGGGCCUUGUACACACCGCCCGUCACACCAUGGGAGUGGGUUGCAAAAGAAGUAGGUAGCUUAACCUUCGGGAGGGCGCUUACCACUUUGUGAUUCAUGACUGGGGUGAAGUCGUAACAAGGUAACCGUAGGGGAACCUGCGGUUGGAUCACCUCCUU